rnacentral:rRNA from 1 species
UACAGAGGUGGCAAGCGUUGUUCGGAAUUACUGGGCGUAAAGGGCGCGUAGGCGGUUCGUUAAGUCCUGUGUGAAAUCCCCCGGCUCAACUGGGGAACUGCACAGGAAACUAGCGGGCUUGAGUUCGGGAGAGGGAAGCGGGAAUUCCGGGUGUAGCGGUGAAAUGCGUAGAUAUCCGGAGGAACACCGGUGGCGAAGGCGGCUUCCUGGACCGACACUGACGCUGAGGCGCGAAAGCUAGGGGAGCAAACGGG